AUUGAACGCCGGCGGAAUGCUUUACACAUGCAGGUCGAACGGUAGAGGGGGCAACCCCUCGAGAGUGGCGAACGGGUGAGUAAUAUAUCGGAACGUGCCCAGUCGUGGGGGAUAACGUAGCGAAAGUUACGCUAAUACCGCAUACGAUCUAAGGAUGAAAGCGGGGGAUCGCAAGACCUCGCGCGAUUGGAGCGGCCGAUAUCAGACUAGGUAGUUGGUGGGGUAAAGGCUCACCAAGCCAACGAUCUGUAGCUGGUCUGAGAGGACGACCAGCCACACUGGAACUGAGACACGGUCCAGACUCCUACGGGAGGCAGCAGUGGGGAAUUUUGGACAAUGGACGCAAGUCUGAUCCAGCCAUUCCGCGUGCAGGAUGAAGGCCCUCGGGUUGUAAACUGCUUUUGUACGGAACGAAAAGGUCUCUCUUAAUACGGGGGACUCAUGACGGUACCGUAAGAAUAAGCACCGGCUAACUACGUGCCAGCAGCCGCGGUAA
rnacentral:rRNA from 1 species